rnacentral:lncRNA from 1 species
UAAGUUAGUCAAAAUAUAUGUAGACAUGAUAUCAAGAAAUUAGUAAUUAAAGAUUUUAAUCAUGCCACAAUAUGACUUUGCUCAACUGAUUUAUAAGAGAGAUAUAUGAAAUUACCGAUUCAUUCUGCAUUCUUUAAGUCAAAUACUUAAUAGACUUCUCAUGUAUAAACUUUUGGCUGAAGAAAGUUCUCUCUUUUGUUUGCAUAU